GCCAGACUCCUACGGGAGGCAGCAGUGAGGAAUAUUGGUCAAUGGCCGGAAGGCUGAACCAGCCAAGCCGCGUGAAGGACGAAGGUGCCAAGCAUUGUAAACUUCUUUUGUCAAGGGACAAAAUCAGGCUCGAGAGCCUGACCGAGGGUACUUGAAGAAAAAGCAUCGGCUAACUCCGUGCCAGCAGCCGCGGUAAUACGGAGGAUGCGAGCGUUAUCCGGAUUUAUUGGGUUUAAAGGGUGCGUAGGCGGGCAUUUAAGCCGGCGGUCAAUUGUCGGGGCUCAACCCCGGCCUGCCGUCGGAACUGGGUGCCUUGAGUGGGCGAGAAGUAUGCGGAAUGCGUGGUGUAGCGGUGAAAUGCAUAGAUAUCACGCAGAACCCCGAUUGCGAAGGCAGCAUACCGGCGCCCUACUGACGCUGAGGCACGAAAGUGCGGGUAUCGAACAGGAUUAGAUACCCGUGUA
rnacentral:rRNA from 1 species